rnacentral:misc_RNA from 2 species
GAAAUGCGAUAAGUAGUGUGAAUUGCAGAAUUCAGUGAAUCAUCGAAUCUUUGAACGCACAUUGCGCCCUUUGGUAUUCCUUAGGGCAUGCCUGUUCGAGCGUCAUUUAAACCUUCAAGCUCAGCUUGGUGAUGGGUGACUGUCCUCCCCUCGCGGGGGGACUCGCCUCAAAAACAUUGGCGGCCGGUACAUUGGCUUCGAGCGCAGCAGAAACGCGGUCUCGAGCCCGGUGGAUCGGCUCCCAUAAGUCUAUUCUUUUAUUUUGACCUCGGAUCAGGUAGGGAUACCCGCUGAACUUAA